rnacentral:rRNA from 1 species
ACGGGGCGCAGCAGGCGCGAAACCUCCGCAAUGCACGCAAGUGCGACGGGGGAACCCCAAGUGCCACUCUUAACGGGGUGGCUUUUCAGAAGUGUAAAAAGCUUCUGGAAUAAGGGCUGGGCAAGACCGGUGCCAGCCGCCGCGGUAACACCGGNAGCUCAAGUG